rnacentral:rRNA from 1 species
UACGUAGGUGGCAAGCGUUGUCCGGAUUUACUGGGCGUAAAGAGCGCGCAGGCGGUCGUUCAAGUCGCGUGUGAAAGCCCCCGGCUCAACUGGGGAGGGUCACGCGAUACUGAUCGACUCGAAGGCAGGAGAGGGAAGUGGAAUUCCCGGUGUAGUGGUGAAAUGCGUAGAGAUCGGGAGGAACAUCCGUGGCGAAGGCGACUACCUGGACCAGCACUGACACUGAGGCACGAAAGCGUGGGGAGCAAACAGGG